rnacentral:tRNA from 1 species
GGUUUAAAGAAGUGUUUGAGUGCAAAUCAAACGGUGGGUCUGAAAUGACUCUUAAGCCU